rnacentral:rRNA from 1 species
AUUGAACGCUGGCGGCAGGCCUAACACAUGCAAGUCGAGCGGCAGCGGGAAAGUAGCUUGCUACUUUUGCCGGCGAGCGGCGGACGGGUGAGUAAUGCCUGGGAAAUUGCCCAGUCGAGGGGGAUAACAGUUGGAAACGACUGCUAAUACCGCAUACGCCCUACGGGGGAAAGCAGGGGACCUUCGGGCCUUGCGCGAUUGGAUAUGCCCAGGUGGGAUUAGCUAGUUGGUGAGGUAAUGGCUCACCAAGGCGGCGAUCCCUAGCUGGUCUGAGAGGAUGAUAAGCCGCACUGGAACUGGGACACGGUCCAGACUCCUACGGGAGGCAGCAGUGGGGAAUAUUGCACAAUGGGGGAAACCCUGAUGCAGCCAUGCCGCGUGUGUGAAGAAGGCCUUCGGGUUGUAAAGCACUUUCAGCGAGGAGGAAAGGUUGAUGCCUAAUACGUAUCAACUGUGACGUUACUCGCAGAAGAAGCACCGGCUAACUCCGUGCCAGCAGCCGCGGUAA